CNUGGCNUUGCNCCGGCAAUGGUNCAUNCAANUUNCUNCCCUAUCAACUUUCGAUGGUAGGAUAGUGGCCUACCAUGGUGUUAACGGGUAACGGGGAAUNAGGGUUCUAUUCCGGAGAGGGAGCCUGAGAAACGGCUACCACAUCCAAGGAAGGCAGCAGGCGCGCAAAUUACCCAAUCCCGACACGGGGAGGUAGUGACAAUAAAUACUGAUACAGGGCCCUUUCGGGUCUUGUAAUUGGAAUGAGUACAAUUUAAAUCCCUUAACGAGGAACAAUUGGAGGGCAAGUCUGGUGGACUGACACAGUCCCGGCAGGGUGGGCUUCGGUCCCCCCUCGCUGGCGCCAGCGACAGGCGGUCGUCCCGGGCAGCUCACGGGCCCGGGGGAUCGGCUUAGUGGAGGUUACCCUCCGCAAGGUGUUCGGCACGGGGAAGGGCCAUCUUGGCUUCAUCCCGUGGUCGGGAGGUACUGUACCGCCCGGCCUUAACGCGCGCAAGGACGCCGGUGGACAGUGUGUUCACUUGAGGGACGUGCUAAACCCGCCCGUCAAGGGCCUGGAGCGACCUCUCGUCAGAGUGCUCCCCCGGGGAUGAAUAGGCCAGCAGCCGCGGUAAUUCCAGCUCCAAUAGCGUAUAUUAAAGUUGUUGCAGUUAAAAAGCUCGUAGUUGAACCUUGGGCCUGGCUGGCCGGUCCGCCUCACCGCGUGCACUGGUCCGGCCGGGCCUUUCCUUCUGGGGAUCCACAUGCCCUUCACUGGGUGUGCCGGGGAACCAGGACUUUUACUUUGAAAAAAUUAGAGUGUUCAAAGCAGGCCUAUGCUCGAAUACAUUAGCAUGGAAUAAUAGAAUAGGACGUGUGGUUCUAUUUUGUUGGUUUCUAGGACCGCCGUAAUGAUUAAUAGGGAUAGUCGGGGGCAUCAGUAUUCAAUUGUCAGAGGUGAAAUUCUUGGAUUUAUUGAAGACUAACUACUGCGAAAGCAUUUGCCAAGGAUGUUUUCAUUAAUCAGUGAACGAAAGUUAGGGGAUCGAAGACGAUUUUUCCGCAGUGUCCGGUCGUCCACAGCAACGCUAGUCCGGGGUUCUUCCCCCGGGCGACACCAUUCAACUGAGGGGCCCCUGCGUCCAGGCGGUGAGAACCGAUCCGCGCAGGCCACCCACAGCCAAGUCCCAGUUCCCCUGGGAUGCAGUCUACAGACUGAAUGAGGGUGGGCCAGGGAGUCAAAAUUGGCACUCCGUGGUUUUUGAUACAGUCGAGUCCGGCGUCUCACGGGGCCGGUACUUACGCAGAUACCGUCGUAGUCUUAACCAUAAACUAUGCCGACUAGGGAUCGGACGGUGUUACUAUUUUGACCCGUUCGGCACCUUACGAGAAAUCAAAGUCUUUGGGUUCUGGGGGGAGUANGGUCGCAAGGCUGAAACUUAAAGAAAUUGACGGAAGGGCACCACCAGGCGUUGGUUCGCAAGCUUUGCGCCAGAAAGUCCCCACCGUGGGCACUAGUCUGGGUGUGUAUGCACCCGGCGAGGCCCUUGAUCUGCUCGUACACCGGAGUCCGCUCCGGCUACCAGCAGCCUGUAUGUACAGGUCCACAGAUCAAGGAAGGGUCGGCAGCGCAUUUGCUGCUUGAGAUAUGAUCGGUCUGGGGGGGCCCGCAACCCCCCAGGAGGCACGGGAGCCUGCGGCUUAAUUUGACUCAACACGGGGAAACUCACCAGGUCCAGACACAAUAAGGAUUGACAGAUUGAGAGCUCUUUCUUGAUCUUGUGGGUGGUGGUAACGCCGCGUGUGCCACCUACAGCUACAACAUAGCUAGCCUGGGUUCGCCCAGACGACAUUCCCAAGGUGCUGAAAGCCUCCGAUGCGAGCAGCCUCGGAGGUAUCAGCAGUCAGGCGCACUUUCACGGCGUGCCCUGGCUCACAGACUAGAUGGGAGUGGGCUGGUCCCUCCAGAUGGGGGCUCCAGUUGUGAGAUAUAGCCGAACCC
rnacentral:rRNA from 1 species